AUUGAACGCUGGCGGCAUGCUUUACACAUGCAAGUCGAACGGUAACAGGCCGCAAGGUGCUGACGAGUGGCGAACGGGUGAGUAAUGCAUCGGAACGUGCCCAGUCGUGGGGGAUAACGCAGCGAAAGCUGCGCUAAUACCGCAUACGAUCUGUGGAUGAAAGCGGGGGACCGAAAGGCCUCGCGCGAUUGGAGCGGCCGAUGUCAGAUUAGGUAGUUGGUGGGGUAAAGGCCCACCAAGCCAACGAUCUGUAGCUGGUCUGAGAGGACGACCAGCCACACUGGGACUGAGACACGGCCCAGACUCCUACGGGAGGCAUCAGUGGGGAAUGUUGGACAAUGGGCGCAAGCCUGAUCCAGCAAUGCCGCGUGCAGGAAGAAGGCCUUCGGGUUGUAAACUGCUUUUGUACGGAACGAAACGGCUCUGGUUAAUACCUGGGGCUAAUGACGGUACCGUAAGAAUAAGCACCGGCUAACUACGUGCCAGCAGCCGCGGUAACAC
rnacentral:rRNA from 1 species